rnacentral:rRNA from 1 species
AUUGAACGCUGGCGGCAGGCCUAACACAUGCAAGUCGAACGGUAACAGGAAACAGCUUGCUGUUUCGCUGACGAGUGGCGGGCGGGUGAGUAAUGUCUGGGAAACUGCCUGAUGGAGGGGGAUAACUACUGGAAACGGUAGCUAAUACCGCAUAACGUCGCAAGACCAAAGAGGGGGACCUUCGGGCCUCUUGCCAUCAGAUGUGCCCAGAUGGGAUUAGCUAGUAGGUGGGGUAACGGCUCACCUAGGCGACGAUCCCUAGCUGGUCUGAGAGGAUGACCAGCCACACUGGAACUGAGACACGGUCCAGACUCCUACGGGAGGCAGCAGUGGGGAAUAUUGCACAAUGGGCGCAAGCCUGAUGCAGCCAUGCCGCGUGUAUGAAGAAGGCCUUCGGGUUGUAAAGUACUUUCAGCGGGGAGGAAGGGAGUAAAGUUAAUACCUUUGCUCAUUGACGUUACCCGCAGAAGAAGCACCGGCUAACUCCGUG